rnacentral:lncRNA from 1 species
UAAUAUUGUAACUGAUCAUUAUAUUUCUUUUUCUGCACUUUAGGAAGAAACGGGGAUGACCAGCAAAUUGAAGAUGAGUUCAAAAAUUACAGGAAUAAUCUAAGAUUCAAAUUUCAAAAUGCUGCCAAAGCACAAUCAGAAAGAAUUGACUUGAAAUUAGAGGAAAAAGGAAGUCUUCCUGCUUGGCUGGGGAAUCGGGUCUCCCAGGCUGGAAGGGCGCCGAAAAACUCCACGCCACCCAGGCCACCGAGACCGAGGGCACUUCCCGAUCGAUCGCGCGUCCCUGGCACCGCGAGGGGCCCACGGGAACUCGCCCGGCGCCUCCGCCUGAGACCCAGGGAUCCAACUCAGUGCCACCAGCUCACAGAC